rnacentral:rRNA from 1 species
GAUGAAUGCUGGCGGCGUGCCUAACACAUGCAAGUCGAGCGGCAGCGAGGGGUGCUUGCACCCUGUCGGCGAGCGGCGAACGGCUGAGUAACGCGUAGGAAUUUUCCCCAAAGUGAGGAAUAACUGCCCGCAAGGGUAGCUAAUGCCGCAUAUGGUCUUCGGAUUAAAGGAUUUAUCCGCUUUGGGAGCAGCCUGCGUUGGAUUAGGUUGUUGGUAGGGUAAUGGCCUACCAAGCCGACGAUCCAUAGCUGGUCUGAGAGGAUGAUCAGCCAGACUGGAACUGAGACACGGUCCAGACUCCUACGGGAGGCAGCAGUGAGGAAUCUUCCACAAUGGGCGAAAGCCUGAUGGAGCAACGCCGCGUGAAGGAUGAAGGCCUUCGGGUUGUAAACUUCUUUUAUGAGUGAAGAAUAUGACGGUAACUCAUGAAUAAGCACCGGCUAACUACGUG